UCUGCUGAGGUGGUUCUGGCAAUUCUGAGGUGGAUUUGGGGACUAUUCAAACUGAAUCUGCCUCUCGAGCUUGGGCCUGGGAUUUCCAAAGGUGAGCCUGAAUGUUCUGAGUUGACUUUGGAUCAACUGAGGUGUUUCUAGGCUUUCAAUAUGUUGUCUGUGGAAGUCUGUGUCAUUGAGAUGGAUUAGGACUGGCCAAUAUCAGUUUGGGGUCCCUGAGGUGUGUCUGGGGUCCUCUGGAGUAUUUUCUGGGGAUGCAUGUACUAAGUUUGGUGCCCAUGAAUUGAUGUCAGCUUUUGUAAUCAGAGUCUGGGUCCUGUGGACAGAGCCUGGGUUGAAUUUGGGUCUGUUUGAGGUGAGUCUGUGUUUAGCCAUAUAUGUCUUAGUGCUCCUAGGGUGGGUCUGGGGACCUCAUAGAUUGAUAUCUGGGAGUGUGUGAAUUGAAUCUUGGUCCCUUGAUGUAAUCUGGGGUCUCUAGAGGUGUGUUAGGAUACUUGAGAAACCUCUGGUUUCCUUGAGUUGAAUCUAUGUCCUCCAAACCGAGUUUUGGUAUCCUGAGGAUGGCUUGAUUCCUUUAAGUAGGUUGCGAGCCCCAUAUCUUUUACCCGGUGAACUUGCAGUAUGUUUCUCAUUUCCAGGUCUGUUGCUGAGGAAUGCCUAAACUGAGUCUGGAUUCCUGAAGUUAGUCUUCUUUGCUCUGAAGUGGAUCUGGAUCUGAGGAGGAACCGGGGAUCGGUUGUUUCCUUCCAAUUGCAGAGUUUUGAGACUGGGAGGAGUUGGGACAAGAGCUCUAUGGAAUUUCUUAAGAUCCUGAGUGUGGAUUUUUCUGAUUGUGCACUUGCUUGCUUGCUUCAGGUCCUGACUGGUUUCCAGAGCUCCCACAAAGGAAACAUUUAAACUCUGACAUUUCAGGAGUCACGGACCAAGAAGGUAUCUUACAUGGCUAUAGGCCUGAAAAGAUCAAGUCAAAGGAGACACAGCGGUGGUCAUCCUGCGAUACCCUAUCAGGAGGGAAGAAAUACUGCUUUCUCACACUUACAACAUCUUCUGGAAGAGCUGUUGUAACUGCUCAUACAGACA